GUAGGUGGCAAGCGUUGUCCGGAAUUAUUGGGCGUAAAGCGCGCGCAGGCGGUUCUUUAAGUCUGAUGUGAAAGCCCACGGCUCAACCGUGGAGGGUCAUUGGAAACUGGAGAACUUGAGUACAGAAGAGGAAAGCGGAAUUCCACGUGUAGCGGUGAAAUGCGUAGAGAUGUGGAGGAACACCAGUGGCGAAGGCGGCUUUCUGGUCUGUAACUGACGCUGAGGCGCGAAAGCGUGGGGAGCAAACAGGAUUAGAUACCCUGGUAGUCCACGCCGUAAACGGUGAGUGCUAAGUGUUAGGGGGUUUCCGCCCCCUUAGUGCUGCAGCUAACGCAUUAAGCACUCCGCCUGGGGAUACGACCGCAAGGUUG
rnacentral:rRNA from 1 species